rnacentral:rRNA from 1 species
GACGAACGCUGGCGGCGUGCUUAACACAUGCAAGUCGAGCGGUAAGGCCCUUCGGGGUACACGAGCGGCGAACGGGUGAGUAACACGUGGGUGAUUUGCCCUGCACUUUGGGAUAAGCCUGGGAAACUGGGUUUAAUACUGGAUAUGACCUGUCCUCGCAUGGGGGUGGGUGGAAAGAUUUAUCGGUGCAGGAUGGGCCCGCGGCCUAUCAGCUUGUUGGUGGGGUAAUGGCCCCCCAAGGCGACGACGGGUAGCCGACCUGAGAGGGUGACCGGCCCCACUGGGACUGAGACACGGCCCAGACUCCUACGGGAGGCAGCAGUGGGGAAUAUUGCACAAUGGGCGAAAGCCUGAUGCAGCGACGCCGCGUGAGGGAUGAAGGCCUUCGGGUUGUAAACCUCUUUCAGCAGGGACGAAGCGAGAGUGACGGUACCUGCAGAAGAAGCACCGGCUAACUACGUG